GUCCUCUUGCCCGAAUUCGGAUAAAACCAGUUUAACCCGACCCAGAUCUAUGCGAACCGACCCGGUUUGAAAAAAGGCGUCGGACAAUCCCCAAUCUCUCGUCGUUCGACGGGGCCAUUCGUUUCUCACUUUCCGGUUUUUCUUCGAUUUGCAACGUUGUGAAUGCUUACACAUCUAUGGGUAUGUUCUUGCUUUGUUAAAAAGCACGGAGCUUUACGUCCUUCUCUCAAGAAUUUCAGUAUCUUCCAUGAAGUUAGUAAAUUUAUCUGUAUUUAUAUGAUGAGAUCAUAACUACGCAAAUUAAUAGUGUUGUACAUUGUUGCACAAGAUGUCUCUUUUGAGUUCGACUAAUAAUUCAAUUUUUAGACGAAUCCCUCAAGCUAACAAAGGAAAUCAAAGGCUUUUCAUUUCCUGUGUGAUUAUCAUAAAAAGGUUGUUGCACUCUUCUAAAGCUUAUUUGUUCUUCUCAAUUCCAGCUGAAACCAUUUAAAUCAAACUGUUUAGGACGCGUUGUGCCAUAGUUUUCGUCGUGUGUGUUAAGAUCUAGAGCUGUUCUUGUGUGUGUUUCAAGCUUGCAAUCUUCAUUAUUCUCGUUGAAUCUUUCUUCUGUAUACUCACUGUUGUUGCUACUCCUUCCUCUGUGUUCAUGUAAUCCCACUCCUAUUGACAAUCUUCCAGGACUUCUUCUUGAAGACGAGAUUCUCGGUUCUGCGUUGUUAACCAUUGUUGAAAGAUAUGGCCUGUUGUGAUUCUCUCUGAGGCUUUCUUCUUCUGCCCAUGUGAGCUCCAUUCUAUGGAAGAAUGGCUCUUCCAUUAUCUCUUUCUGCUCUGAAGUUGAAUCUCCAAUAUAUGUUCUUAAUCCCAGUCUGUUGUCAAGCAUCUUUGGGGCUUUCUGAGUUCCUUCACUUGAGGUUAGGCAACUGUCCAGGGAGGAGUUAGGUGGAUACGUUUUUUGCAUCUGUUGAUGGUGUAGAUUCUGCAGUUCUUUCGGUUCGAGGAAACUAGAGUCUGGAUAGUCUGCUGAUACUUUAGAUACUAAUUCUGAGAGUUGAGCUUUUGUUGCUUCAAUCCCAGCUGCACCUAGGUUCUGUCUUCCAAGAGUCUCUUGUGCUUUCUCCAGAAUCGAUUGCAGAGUACAGUAUAUGAUAGAUACCUCAAGUUGCUCGUGUAGCCGUCUCUGGACCUCUAUUUGCAUUUGAAGGGCAUCACUUAUGGGGGGGUUUUCUUCUACCAUGGUCAUCACACCUAAACCAGGUUGCUUUUAGUUUACUUGAAGGAAAAUAGUAUGAAAAAAGAAUGAAUCUUUAGAUUAAAAUAUUUUUGUAUCUGAGUAAUGAAUAACUAAGCUUACUUGUCUUGUUUAAACUGCUGUUAGCUUGUCCAUUAAGAUUCUUGCUUAGCCUAUAUUUCUGGUAGUCAAAUCAUGAUAUUAAUAAUCUUUGUAAAACAAAAAACAGAUAUUACAGAUUUUUCAUAUCUUGACAUAUCGUCAUUUUUGUGCUACUUUAAUAGUUUUCUACCAAUCGAAUUGAUGAACGAGUCAUGUAAGUUUAGGGCCUUGGGCAUAUGACUGUAUAAAGUGUUGAUGGAUUACCUGAAGAUGACUCUUGAGAUGGUAUAAGAUAACUUACUAUCUCCUCCUCCAAGCUGGUUGACCGCUUCAACAAAUCUCUCGUGAAGAUCUGGAGUCCAUUUUAGUCGUGGCUUUGCAUCAGUGGAGAGAAUGAGUCCAGAAUCUCCUGUGCCAUUUCCUCUGAGGAACGGAUGCCUUUCAGAAGAAAUGGGCAUUCUCGAUGAAGAGAGGAUGCUCUUUCCUUGGUGCUGGUUGUGGUAAUACAUAAGUCUGUCUUCAAAAUAAAAAGGCCGGGGUCUCUCAAGAGUAAAAAGUCUUUGCAACUUUGCUUUAUAUAGAAAGUUGAAUGGCAAAAAGGCAAAUUAGAGGAUGAUAACUAAGGGGAAUUCAUUCUUUUUCCUUAUUCCUCAAUUUUUUCAAAGUCCACAGCUCCAACCUCUCUAUCUCUUGAGGGAGCAUAAUUCAACACGUGGGAUUGUGAUUCGCUUGAUUGAAUGAGAGAGGAUUGGAUACAUAAAACAGGAGGAAGCGGGAAAUGACCGCGGAAUUAUAUUCGUUUGGAGAGAAAAUGGAGGGUAAUAAGUGGGUUCGUUCAUGAGAUUCUAGAGAAUGAGAAUAUGAGAAUCCAAAACUAAAGAAAGCUUGGUGAGUCGCAUUCUCAACUCAAGAAUCUUUUUUGUUCAUCACAACCCGAACCCAAAAAAAAAAAGAGACUAUUCGGGUCUAUUUCUUUCCCCUUUUACUUAGUCUCGAUUUUUGUGGAUAUUUUAAUGAAUUGUGAUUCUUAUAAGCACAACAAAAGAUUAGGAGAAUCAUUGUAGGAGUUUUGUGUUCACCACAAGGCAGUGUUGUCUGCAUCCAACCGAAUCAUGUAGCAGUUUUGUUAUAUUGGUUUGAAUAUUAUGAAACUAUAAAAAAUCGAGGGCACUGCGACUGGACGCAAACGCAAAUGCUGGCUAAAUUAUUCGACAAGUCGGAUCAUUAUAAAGAGUUGAUUGUCUAGUUGCAAGUAGUUGG
rnacentral:lncRNA from 1 species